CUAUAGUCCAGCUAAUGAAACUGAUGAUAUUUUUCAGACUGCAGACAGAUUCUGAUGAGGACAUAAGAAGAGCAGAACAGUUUGUCAAAGAUACUUUACACUUAAACCAUCUGCGUCUCUGCUGAAAGGAGCCCAACCUUGGGUCAGAUUCUGAUCUUGAAUAAACUCCAGCACCACUUCACAGUUAAUGAUGAGGACUCCUCCUUCACAAACACCAUCAAGGACACUGUCUGGAAUGACCUCUCAAGAAGAUACCAGGAUGGCAACAUCAGGCAGUUCUUGGAGGAGCCCACAGCCCUGGAUCCCAGAUUCAAGUCAGAAGAGGCAGAUGAAAUGUGGACCAGAUUGGAGGAGGAGCUGAUGAAAAGGACCUCAGUACUGGUGUUAAUUGUUAUUGGGGAUCUUCUACUUCUCUUGAAUUGUAGAUCAAUAUAUAUGACCCUCAUACUCUAUUGAAUACAGACUCGGGGUGAGCAGAUAGAGAGCAGGUGACCAUGAUGACAGCUCAUCUGAUGAAGACAGUAACAACACUGCUCACAGAAGAGGCCAAAGCUGUCUGUCCUUGAGGAGCUGUUUGCUGUGGAGGACAUGGCAGCUGAAGCAAGAAGACAGAUCACUGUUAGCAGCACCACAGAGAAGAUUCAGACAGAGAUAAAGCAC